UGUGUCAUAGUUCUGCCUAUGGUGGUCAGCGGUGAUUGGGACAACCACUUCAACAAAUGAGCAACCAGUUCAUCACUUUGACGAGAUCACCAGCAGUGUUACAGCUCAAUGAUAAUUAGGAGUCCCAGUCCAGAGGCAUUAGUACAUACUACUAGAUAUGCUAGACCUUCAUCUCAGAGCAGCUACAUAUCAGAGGAUCUACAAACUAUAGCAUCAGUAGAAGAAACCAAGGGCAAGGGAAGCUAUAGCAAGUUUCAUUGUGUGUGUAUGGGAUGCCUGCUUGAGGUGAAGCUGAGGGCAGAUAUCAAGGGACCC